rnacentral:rRNA from 1 species
UACGUAGGCUGCAAGCGUUGUUCGGAGUCACUGGGCGUAAAGGGUGCGUAGGUGGUGAGGUAAGUCGGAUGUGAAAUCUCCAAGCUCAACUUGGAAAUGGCAUUGGAAACUUCCUUGCUGGAGGUUUGGAGGGGGGACUGGAAUUCUCGGUGUAGCAGUGAAAUGCGUAGAUAUCGAGAGGAACACCAGUGGCGAAGGCGAGACCCUGGACAAAACCUGACACUGAGGCACGAAAGCUAGGGGAGCAAACGGG